AUGUGGAAAGUGGCAAACGGGUGAGUAACACGUAGGUGACCUGCCCCAAAGAGGGGGACAACCGGCGGAAACGACGGCUAAUACCCCAUGUGCUCAGCGAAGUUAGAGGUUUGCUGAGGAAAGCUCCGGCGCUUUGGGAGGGACCUGCGGCCCAUCAGCUAGUUGGUGAGGUAAUGGCUCACCAAGGCUACGACGGGUAGGGGGCCUGAGAGGGUGGUCCCCCACACUGGAACUGCGACACGGUCCAG
rnacentral:rRNA from 1 species